AUGAACGCUGGCGGCGUGCCUAAUACAUGCAAGUCGAGCGCACAGACGAGGAGCUUGCUCCUCUGACGUUAGCGGCGGCCGGGUGAGUAACACGUGGAUAACCUACCUAUAAGACUGGGAUAACUUCGGGAAACCGGAGCUAAUACCGGAUAAUAUAUUGAACCGCAUGGUUCAAUAGUGAAAGACGGUUUUGCUGUCACUUAUAGAUGGAUCCGCGCCGCAUUAGCUAGUUGGUAAGGUAACGGCUUACCAAGGCAACGAUGCGUAGCCGACCUGAGAGGGUGAUCGGCCACACUGGAACUGAGACACGGUCCAGACUCCUACGGGAGGCAGCAGUAGGGAAUCUUCCGCAAUGGGCGAAAGCUUGACGGAGCAACGCCGCGUGAGUGAUGAAGGUCUUCGGAUCGUAAAACUCUGUUAUUAGGGAAGAACAAAUGUGUAAGUAACUAUGCACGUCUUGACGGUACCUAAUCAGAAAGCCACGGCUAACUACGUG
rnacentral:rRNA from 1 species